GGGUUGUGAGGUUAAGCGACUAAGCGUACACGGUGGAUGCCCUGGCAGUCAGAGGCGAUGAAGGACGUGCUAAUCUGCGAUAAGCGUCGGUAAGGUGAUAUGAACCGUUAUAACCGGCGAUUUCCGAAUGGGGAAACCCAGUGUGAUUCGUCACACUAUCAUUAACUGAAUCCAUAGGUUAAUGAGGCGAACCGGGGGAACUGAAACAUCUAAGUACCCCGAGGAAAAGAAAUCAACCGAGAUUCCCCCAGUAGCGGCGAGCGAACGGGGAGCAGCCCAGAGCCUGAAUCAGUGUGUGUGUUAGUGGAAGCGUCUGGAAAGGCGUGCGAUACAGGGUGACAGCCCCGUACACAAAAAUGCACAUGCUGUGAGCUCGAUGAGUAGGGCGGGACACGUGGUAUCCUGUCUGAAUAUGGGGGGACCAUCCUCCAAGGCUAAAUACUCCUGACUGACCGAUAGUGAACCAGUACCGUGAGGGAAAGGCGAAAAGAACCCCGGCGAGGGGAGUGAAAAAGAACCUGAAACCGUGUACGUACAAGCAGUGGGAGCACAGAGCAAUCUGUGUGACUGCGUACCUUUUGUAUAAUGGGUCAGCGACUUAUAUUCUGUAGCAAGGUUAACCGAAUAGGGGAGCCGAAGGGAAACCGAGUCUUAACUGGGCGUUAAGUUGCAGGGUAUAGACCCGAAACCCGGUGAUCUAGCCAUGGGCAGGUUGAAGGUUGGGUAACACUAACUGGAGGACCGAACCGACUAAUGUUGAAAAAUUAGCGGAUGACUUGUGGCUGGGGGUGAAAGGCCAAUCAAACCGGGAGAUAGCUGGUUCUCCCCGAAAGCUAUUUAGGUAGCGCCUCGUGAAUUCAUCUCCGGGGGUAGAGCACUGUUUCGGCAAGGGGGUCAUCCCGACUUACCAACCCGAUGCAAACUGCGAAUACCGGAGAAUGUUAUCACGGGAGACACACGGCGGGUGCUAACGUCCGUCGUGAAGAGGGAAACAACCCAGACCGCCAGCUAAGGUCCCAAAGUCAUGGUUAAGUGGGAAACGAUGUGGGAAGGCCCAGACAGCCAGGAUGUUGGCUUAGAAGCAGCCAUCAUUUAAAGAAAGCGUAAUAGCUCACUGGUCGAGUCGGCCUGCGCGGAAGAUGUAACGGGGCUAAACCAUGCACCGAAGCUGCGGCAGCGACGCUUAUGCGUUGUUGGGUAGGGGAGCGUUCUGUAAGCCUGCGAAGGUGUGCUGUGAGGCAUGCUGGAGGUAUCAGAAGUGCGAAUGCUGACAUAAGUAACGAUAAAGCGGGUGAAAAGCCCGCUCGCCGGAAGACCAAGGGUUCCUGUCCAACGUUAAUCGGGGCAGGGUGAGUCGACCCCUAAGGCGAGGCCGAAAGGCGUAGUCGAUGGGAAACAGGUUAAUAUUCCUGUACUUGGUGUUACUGCGAAGGGGGGACGGAGAAGGCUAUGUUGGCCGGGCGACGGUUGUCCCGGUUUAAGCGUGUAGGCUGGUUUUCCAGGCAAAUCCGGAAAAUCAAGGCUGAGGCGUGAUGACGAGGCACUACGGUGCUGAAGCAACAAAUGCCCUGCUUCCAGGAAAAGCCUCUAAGCAUCAGGUAACAUCAAAUCGUACCCCAAACCGACACAGGUGGUCAGGUAGAGAAUACCAAGGCGCUUGAGAGAACUCGGGUGAAGGAACUAGGCAAAAUGGUGCCGUAACUUCGGGAGAAGGCACGCUGAUAUGUAGGUGAAGUCCCUCGCGGAUGGAGCUGAAAUCAGUCGAAGAUACCAGCUGGCUGCAACUGUUUAUUAAAAACACAGCACUGUGCAAACACGAAAGUGGACGUAUACGGUGUGACGCCUGCCCGGUGCCGGAAGGUUAAUUGAUGGGGUUAGCGCAAGCGAAGCUCUUGAUCGAAGCCCCGGUAAACGGCGGCCGUAACUAUAACGGUCCUAAGGUAGCGAAAUUCCUUGUCGGGUAAGUUCCGACCUGCACGAAUGGCGUAAUGAUGGCCAGGCUGUCUCCACCCGAGACUCAGUGAAAUUGAACUCGCUGUGAAGAUGCAGUGUACCCGCGGCAAGACGGAAAGACCCCGUGAACCUUUACUAUAGCUUGACACUGAACAUUGAGCCUUGAUGUGUAGGAUAGGUGGGAGGCUUUGAAGUGUGGACGCCAGUCUGCAUGGAGCCGACCUUGAAAUACCACCCUUUAAUGUUUGAUGUUCUAACGUUGACCCGUAAUCCGGGUUGCGGACAGUGUCUGGUGGGUAGUUUGACUGGGGCGGUCUCCUCCUAAAGAGUAACGGAGGAGCACGAAGGUUGGCUAAUCCUGGUCGGACAUCAGGAGGUUAGUGCAAUGGCAUAAGCCAGCUUGACUGCGAGCGUGACGGCGCGAGCAGGUGCGAAAGCAGGUCAUAGUGAUCCGGUGGUUCUGAAUGGAAGGGCCAUCGCUCAACGGAUAAAAGGUACUCCGGGGAUAACAGGCUGAUACCGCCCAAGAGUUCAUAUCGACGGCGGUGUUUGGCACCUCGAUGUCGGCUCAUCACAUCCUGGGGCUGAAGUAGGUCCCAAGGGUAUGGCUGUUCGCCAUUUAAAGUGGUACGCGAGCUGGGUUUAGAACGUCGUGAGACAGUUCGGUCCCUAUCUGCCGUGGGCGCUGGAGACUUUAGGGGGGCUGCUCCUAGUACGAGAGGACCGGAGUGGACGCAUCACUGGUGUUCGGGUUGUCAUGCCAAUGGCACUGCCCGGUAUCUAAUUGCGGAAGAGAUAAGUGCUGAAAGCAUCGAAGCACGACUCUUGCCCCGAGCUUAGUUCUC
rnacentral:rRNA from 1 species